UUGAAAGCUAUCUCCAUCGUUUAGUGAAUAAAAAGCGAUAUAUAAACGCUACAAGAACGCAUCUUUGUUGAAGAGGAAUCCAAGUAGCUYGCCGCUCUGAACUCGAACAUAUCUGAAUAUAUCUGAAUCUCGAGUAUAUUUACAAGUCAAAUGAACCAGGCCAAGUGAUGCGAUUCUUCGACCCAAUAUCAUGUAGUCGAUCAMAACCUAUGUGGUAUWUCAUUUGGUUAAUACUAUAUAAAAGUCGAACCAUUUCAUCCAAUGUUCUGACACUUCAAAGGUAUCAUAUUACUUGCUUUGAUUCGACAGAUCUUUGACGAUACUUCCAGUACUGGGCAUUCAGAAGUGCAGUGGAAUCUGAUAUGAUGGCUUUUAUACCAGACGCAUAACAGAACGAAGAGAUAUCGCACGAUGGAGUUUYUAUGGGUUUUCCUGAUUCUAUACCUCUUCAUGUUUUGGGGCUCCGUCUUCAGUUGGUGUUUCGGAGGUUUUAAGACAGUGAGAGCCUCUUUGAAUAAAUUGAGACARUUACCAAGGCACGGUACAGCAUCAAAUAAUAGGMACAAUGCAUCAAAACAAUUGAAAGAUAUUCGAUUAAAAUUCGCCGAAAAYCAAGUGAGCUACGAUAAUGAUGCGAUUGCAGAAGGCAGCAGCAGCUGCUAAAGUUAAUAUCUCUAUAAUUSGUAUUGCUAUACCAUUGAAAUCUAUAUGGUAUGCUUUAUAUCUGGCGUAUGCAUACUGUAUUUGUGUACGAUAAUUACGGUCAUAGAGGAUUCUGGUUAUAUUGAGAUGCAUUCUACACUCACCCACACCAAGAAUCCAAAGAAUGCGGAUUAUAAAACAAUCAUAUAUGCUAUUUUUUUUUAUUCUAAUUGUAUUUUAUAUCAAGUAUUGUUUGCAACAAUUUGCGAUGGACACUUGGACAAUGGAGAGAAAUCUCAUUAUUCAGUAGAAACUAGGACCGAGGUGGUCCAUGGGAUACUCAGUAAUAAUAAUAAUAAUCAUCAGUAAUGAACUGACAUCCAGUACAUCUGAAUGAUGAAGCCUUGUCUAAAACAAAUAUAUUUUUAAAGAUAUCUGGUAUCAUUCAAAAUUAAACAUCGUCGCCAUUAUGGAUUAUAGUAACCAAGAAA